rnacentral:lncRNA from 1 species
AAUUCAUAUAUCACUUGCCAAACACAACUUCCAAAAACAAUUUCUAUACAAUUCAAUAAGAGAUGGGCAUUUAGACAAAGGAUUAUGCAGAAUUUCCAUUUUCAAAGAGAAAAUACAUCCGGCCAGAUAGGGUUCCAUGGCUAUAAGGUCUACAAAAAGCUUAAACAAUUUCUUCAAUCGGAAUUAGAUAUUUUCAGUAAAAUUUAAGUUUAAAUAAAACCAAUUAAAACCGUGUUGAAAAUACAACUAUGAAAGACAAUAUUUUCGAAUAUCUUGACAAAUCUGAAAUGGAAUCGGAAUUGAAAUUUCGCUCCCAAUCCUAAAAUGUCUACUAAUCAAUCCCUCCGUAUUAUGGAAAUUGAUCUCUCGUAUUUUUAAAAAAUCUACUAAUCAAUCCCUCCGUAUUAUGGACAUUUUAGAUUUUUUUACAAUAUUUAAAAUUAAUAUAAGGACUAAUUAGUAGACUUUUAGAAACUUAAGAAAUAUUUUAAUAUAUUUUUCAAAAUUAAAUGACCAACUAGUAAGUUUCUCCAUAUUAUAAGGAUUAAACAAUAAUUUUUCUUAAAAAACUAUGUAAAAUAUUUUAAUUCUUUUUAAUUUUAUGAUAUCUAAGUUUAAUAUGCUUUUAGUAAUGCCACUAUUUGUUUUGUUAUAUAAAAAUUUAGUACAUGUAAAUUUAUUUUAUAUUAUGUUAUUAGUGGAUAUAUAUAUUUGUUAAUUCCUAUAAAUUAAUUAAAAUUUUUUAAUAGAGUAGAAAAUUAUUUUUUUUUGGUGCAUUAAGAGUAGUUUAAAAAAUGAAAAUAAAUAAAUUUCAAUUAUGAAAUGAUAUAAAAUAUAAAUUGAAUAAAAUUUUAUAAGUCGUGUCAUAUUAAAUAAUAGAAUUCAUUUAAAUUAAAUUAUAUAGAAUUUUAUUAAAUAAAAUAAAAAUAAAAUUGUAUACUACAUAAAAAAACCUUUAAAACAUCAUAAGCAGAUUGUAUUCUAUAUCAAAAUCAUGGACUCUUGAUUAUCACAUGUCAUGCAACUAAAAAUGAAAUAUUUAUAAUGAACUAUUGAUUAUAUGUAGGUAUUAUUUUAGUGCCAAAAGCUUAACCGGCAAGUGGUAUUUUGCUAUGUUUAGAUGGAAUCUAAUCAAAUAGCAGGUGAUAUAGCUAAUCUUGUUGUGGUUUACCUUCAACAGCUUACUUAUCCUCUGAUUGAGGUGUCAGACCUUACUUGAUAGAAUUUACAGGAAUUUUUUAGUCUCGAGUUUAUCCUAUUAGAUAAGAUUAUGCUUAUUUUUAGUAUUACUAUCUACAUGGUUCUGUAAUUAUAAGAGUUAACACUUGCAUCCAAGUUACAUUAACUCUACCAUCCAACAGUUAACCCAAGAUAUAAUUUAUUAUAAAGGCAAUUUUCAGAGGCAGUUGUCAAUUUAAUCUCUUCUACUCAAUAUUACAGAUUCUCUCUCCCAAUAUUUUAUGGAAACACGGAGCCUCAAUUUCCCCUUGUUCUGGAAAUACAUAAACCUCUCUUUUGGAAGGUUUUUUAGUCCAUAAAUCAGAUUAAUAGUUCAUCAAUCAAAAUAAUAGUCCAUAAAUUCUAAAAAUCAACAGUGUUAGAGUAACCAAAUAGCAAAUAAUCAAAUUUUUUAACAGUAUACAAAUAAUCAGAUUAAUAGUCCAUAAAUUCUAAAAAUCAACAGUGUUAGAGUAACCAAAUAGCAAAUAAUCAG